rnacentral:rRNA from 1 species
UCGGGACCGGGAUAACAGAGCGAAAGUUCUGCUAAUACCGGAUACGACCGGAAGACGGGAGUUUUUUGGUGAAAGUCGGCCUCUCCAUGGAAGCCGAUGUUCGAGGAUGGGCCUGCGUCCUAUCAGCUAGUUGGUAGGGUAACGGCCUACCAAGGCGACGACGGGUAGCUGGUCUGAGAGGAUGAUCAGCCACACUGGCACUGAAACACGGGCCAGACUCCUACGGGAGGCAGCAGUGAGGAAUUUUGCGCAAUGGGAGCAAUCCUGACGCAGCAACGCCGCGUGGGUGAUGAAGGCCUUCGGGUCG